rnacentral:rRNA from 1 species
UUGAACGCUGGCGGCAGGCCUAACACAUGCAAGUCGAGCGGAUGAAGGGAGCUUGCUCCUGGAUUCAGCGGCGGACGGGUGAGUAAUGCCUAGGAAUCUGCCUGGUAGUGGGGGAUAACGCCCGGAAACGGGCGCUAAUACCGCAUACGUCCUGAGGGAGAAAGUGGGGGAUCUUCGGACCUCACGCUAUCAGAUGAGCCUAGGUCGGAUUAGCUAGUUGGUGGGGUAAAGGCCUACCAAGGCGACGAUCCGUAACUG